rfam:Streptomyces agglomeratus strain 6-3-2 1, whole genome shotgun sequence.
ACGGGUCUGUGUCCGUAUGACCCGUCCCCGCCCUUGACGUGCGAUGCCGGUAACGGCGUGGUGCGAAGCUCAGGGGAAAGCCCAAGGAC